UACGUAGGGUGCAGGCGUUACUCGGAAUUACUGGGCGUAAAGGGCGCGUAGGCGGCCAUCUAAGUCAGACGUGAAAUCCCCCGGCUUAACUGGGGAACUGCGUCUGAUACUGGAUGGCUUGGAUCCGGGAGAGGGAUGCGGAAUUCCAGGUGUAGCGGUGAAAUGCGUAGAUAUCUGGAGGAACACCGGUGGCGAAGGCGGCUUUCUGGACAGGUACUGACGCUGAGACGCGAAAGCGUGGGGAGCAAACAGG
rnacentral:rRNA from 1 species